ACUCGAGCAAGCAGUGGCAAUUCUCUCGGUUCCACUUGUACAGUGUGGAAGCUUUGUUCUUUCCCUCUUUGCAAUACAUCUUGCUGCUCCUCUCUUUGGGUCCACGCUGCUUUUAUGAGCUGUAACACUCACUGUGAAGGUCUGCAGUUUCACUCCUGAAGCCAGCGAGACUAGGAAUCCACUGGCAGGAAUGAACAACUCGUGAGGCGCCACCUUUAUGAACUGUUCAACACUCACCACAAAGGUCUGCAGCUGCAGUCCUGAAGCCAGCGAGACCACGAACCCACCAGGAGGAAAAAACACCUCCGGAUGCGCCGCCUUUAAGAGCUGUUACACUGACUGCGGAGGUCUGCGGCUUCACUCCUGAAGUGAGCGAGACCACAAACCCACCAGAAGGAAGAAACUCCGGACACGUCCUAACAUCAGAAGGAACAAACUCUGGGCACACUAUCUUUAAGAACUGUAACACUCACCACGAAGGUCCGUGGCUUCAUUCUUGAAGUCAGUGAGACCAAGAACCCACUAAUUGCGGACAUAGUACGGUUUGAAAGUGAAUGAGUGUGUGUGUGUGUGUGUGUGUGUGUGUGUAUAGUAUUUGGUUAAAUAUCUUUAUGUAAAGAAUGUGGCAUUUGGUGUGAACUUUUAAAGAGCUCUUGAGAUCACACUAUAUACAAAAAGAAAUUAGACUAAUGAUUUGAGUUAGACUAUAUCCUUAAUUCAAACAAAUUUAGAAAAAAUUGAAACCUUUUUAUACAUAGACAUAACCUAUCUAUUUUGACUAUUGGUCAAUUAAGAUUUUUAAAUUAUCUUUUUAAAUCCAAUAUAUGGUGUUUAUUUUCUUUUAACUUAACAUACAUCCGGAUUUAUUGUAUUGCCUUUUUAUGCUAACAUGUUGCAGAAAUGCAAACAUUUCUGUUAUGGUGAGUUCGUUUAUACGCUUUUGUGUUUAUCUCAAGGAAGUCGGAAAUGUCUUAAUCUUUUAGACAGUGAAGUUUAUGUCCUGUCACAAAGACACAAAUGCAAACUAAAUGUUAAGUGUUUUAUUUAAAUUUUGUCAAAUUGCCGUAAUAAUUCAAAGAACUUAACAAAAUUUCAUGGGAAUUUUCAAAAUUUCUCUGGGGAAGGUUUUAGUACAAGAAUUACAUUUUUAUUUAUUAUAAGAAUAAACUUUAAUUUUAAAUGCUUGUUAUGGGCUCUAAGUAAACUUAGUAUACUCUAUCUUUUACAAUUUGAAAGGAUUUAAACAGUAACUUGGUAAACUUAUUUUGGCCUUUUCUCAAAAUGGUGAUAGAACUUGCAAUUUUCUAUAUACUCUUGCCUAUUGCCAAUUAGGGAAAGGAAAAGAGAAAAGGAAUUACUAAAGAGAUGAUGG
rnacentral:lncRNA from 1 species